rnacentral:rRNA from 1 species
AAUAGCCUUACGGCUGAACCAGCAACUUGAAAGAAGGGAAAUAAAAAAUUAAAUUCUAGGUAGAAUAAUGAUAAUGACAAUUUUCUAUCUAUAAGUCUUGACCAAAUUACGUGCCAGCAGUCGCGGUAAUACGUAGAAGACAAGUGUUAUUCAUCUUUAGUGGGUUUAAAGGGUACCUAGACAGAAAAUAAAGCCAAAAAAGUAAGGUUUAAAAAAGACCUGAUGGGACUAAUUUUCUAGAGUUUCAUGUGAGAAUGUUGAACUAUCAGAGGAGAGUCAAAAUUUGUUGAUACUGGUGGGACAGGUAACGGCGAAGGCGACAUUCUAUGUAAAAACUGACGUUGAGGGACGAAGCCUAGGGUAGCGAUAAGGAUUAGAUACCCCAGUAGUCCUAGGAGAAAAUUAUGAGUGCCAUAGGCUAGAUAUAUUUAGUUUAUAAAUGAAAGUGUAAGCAUUCCACCUCAUGAGUAAAGCGGCAACGCCCAAAUUGAAAUCAUUAGACCGUUUCUGAAACUAGUAGUGAAGUAUGUUAUUUAAUUCGAUGACCCCCGAAUAACCUUACCACGCAAUGCAUAAUAUUUAGUUAUUACAAGUGCUGCACGGCUGUCUGCAGUUAAUGUCGUGAGAUCCUGGUUAGUUCCUUAAAUUAACGAAAACCCUUGUUUUAUUUAUUUUUAUAAAACGCUGGACCAUUAGUAUUGGUACAAUAAUAGGGACUAAGACAAGUCAUCAUGGCCUAAAAAGCGUGGGCUAUAGACGUGCCACAUAUACCUUGACAAAAGGAUGCAAUAUUGUAAAAUGGAGCUAAUCCUCAAAAUUGGAUAUAACUAUUCGU